rnacentral:rRNA from 1 species
CCUACGGGGGGCAGCAGUGGGGAAUAUUGCACAAUGGGGGAAACCCUGAUGCAGCAACGCCGCGUGAAGGAAGACGGUUUUCGGAUUGUAAACUUCUAUCAAUAGGGAAGAAAGAAAUGACGGUACCUGCAGAAGAAGCCCCGGCUAACUACGUGCCAGCAGCCGCGGUAAUACGUAGGGGGCGAGCGUUAUCCGGAUUCAUUGGGCGUAAAGCGCGCGUAGGCGGCCCGCUAAGCGGGACCUCUAACCUGGGGGCUCAACCUCCAGCCGGGUCCCGAACUGGCGAGCUCGAGUGCGGUAGGGGC